CCUGCAUUGUACACACUGUGUG
rnacentral:ncRNA from 15 species